rnacentral:rRNA from 1 species
CACGUAGGGAGCAAGCGUUGUCCGGAUUUAUUGGGCGUAAAGGGCUCGUAGGCGGCCAACUAAGUCAGACGUGAAAUCCCUCGGCUUAACCGGGGAACUGCGUCUGAUACUGGAUGGCUUGAGUUUGGGAGAGGGAUGCGGAAUUCCCGGUGUAGCGGUGAAAUGCGCAGAUAUCGGGAGGAACACCAAUUGCGAAGGCAGCUCGCUGGGACGUCACUGACGCUGAGACGCGAAAGCGUGGGGAAGCAAACAGG